CAAGGCUCUCAUUUCUGCUGAAUGGAUGGAAAUUGAUCUGGUGAGUCUUACCUGUUAUGGCUUGCUUGGGCUUGUUUGUAGAUGAAGCUUUGUACUCUUCACCUGGAAAAGACCUUCAGAGGUCAAAGAGGACACCACUCAGCUGGGACAUCAUGUGGGACUGACUCCUAGACCCUUAAGAAUUUCUCCUGAAUUUGAAGAUUGCAAUGAAGUCCAGAGCUCUGACAAAUGGAUUUCUGGGACUACCCUUCUCUGUGUCUCUGCCUGUUGCUGCUUGUAUCCCAUCUCUUUGUCAGAGUGGAUGAUCCCUGAAGAUCAAGAAACUGAGGCCCAAAGAGAUGAAGCGAUUCCUUCAAGGUCACAGAGAUAGUAUCAGAAUGAAGAUUCCUUUAACUUCAAACCCAGUUCUCCCUUCUCCCCACCAGCACAACAUUUUUUAGUUCUGGGUAGAUGGAUUUCUUGAUACGAAAAAUCUACCUUUAACCAAUGGAGGCAUUUAAUAAAGAUAAU